UACGGGGGGAGCAAGUGUUGUUCGGAUUUACUGGGCGUAAAGGGCGCGUAGGCGGCCACCGCAAGUCGACUGUGAAAUCUCCGGGCUUAACCCGGAAAGGUCAGCCGAUACUGCGGGGCUAGAGUGCAGAAGGGGCAACUGGAAUUCUCGGUGUAGCGGUGGAAAUGCGUAGAUAUCGAGAGGAACACCUGCGGCGAAGGCGGGUUGCUGGGCUGACACUGACGCUGAGGCGCGAAAGCUAGGGGAGCGAACGGG
rnacentral:rRNA from 1 species